UGGGGAAUCUUGGACAAUGGGGGCAACCCUGAUCCAGCGAUGCCGCGUGAGCGAUGAAGGCCUUAGGGUUGUAAAGCUCUUUCACCGGUGACGAUAAUGACGGUAGCCGGAGAAGAAGCCCCGGCUAACUCCGUGCCAGCAGCCGCGGUAAUACGGAGGGGGCUAGCGUUGUUCGGAAUUACUGGGCGUAAAGCGCACGUAGGCGGACUGUUAAGUCGGGGGUGAAAUCCCGGGGCUCAACCCCGGAACUGCCUCCGAUACUGGCAGCCUGGAGGUCGAGAGAGGUGAGUGGAAUUCCGAGUGUAGAGGUGAAAUUCGUAGAUAUUCGGAGGAACACCAGUGGCGAAGGCGGCUCACUGGCUCGAACCUGACGCUGAGGUGCGAAAGCGUGGGGAGCAA
rnacentral:rRNA from 1 species